rnacentral:rRNA from 1 species
CCUACGGGUGGCAGCAGUGAGGAAUAUUGGUCAAUGGACGAGAGUCUGAACCAGCCAAGUCGCGUGAAGGAUGACUGCCCUAUGGGUUGUAAACUUCUUUUAUAAAGGAAUAAAACGAGGCACGUGUGCCUUUUUGCAUGUACUUUAUGAAUAAGGAUCGGCUAACUCCGUGCCAGCAGCCGCGGUAAUACGGAGGAUCCGAGCGUUAUCCGGAUUUAUUGGGUUUAAAGGGAGCGUAGAUGGGUUGUUAAGUCAGUUGUGAAAGUUUGCGGCUCAACCGCAAAAUUGCAAUUGAUACUGGCAGUCUUGAGUACAGUUGAGGUAAGCGGAAUUCGUGGUGUAGCGGUGAAAUGCUUAGAUAUCACGAAGAACCCCGAUUGCGAAGGCAGCUUACUAAACUGUGACUGACAUUGAUGCUCGAAAGUGUGGGUAGCAAACAGGAUUAGAUACCCGAGUAGUC